AUAAGUGCAGCAUUGUACAAAGUCUGGCAUCAGGAGGAAUAGGUGGCAGUACACGUCUCUCAUUCAGUGCUGUAUGUUCUUUAGGCGUUCAGUCUAAGCUGUUGCCUGAUGUUUUAAAUAUUUUUGUCCUUUUUUCCUUAGCGCCUUAGCCUGAGGUGCGUUUCCAAAGCAACCACAAUGAUGAACGGUCCUCCUCUGCCUGUGUCUCUGUGUCUUCUGCACAGAAGCCGAGCUGUGUACAGAUGCUGGGAAUGCAACAGAAUUCCCCUUACAUUCACCGAGCACUGAAGGAUCCAGCUGCCAUACCUCACACAGGAUACAUUAAAGGAGAUGAAUUCCCAGGUCUGAGGCUUGUCACCGCGGCAACAUGAUUUUCUCACCUGUCAAUCAUAUCAUCAAGGGAAACCUAACACUCCGGCAGAUAGAAAACCCUGUGGACCCUGGGCUGUGGGAGCCCCACACCAUAAUUGUUGUGGUCGUUUUCGGACUUGUCUGUCUCCUCCAUUUGACAGCAUUUCUGUACACCGUCUGCCUGCAGAGUUAUAUGAAUGCUGGUUCCCAAGGCUUUGCACACCUGGAUCCUUACAUAAGGAGAGACGGUGAAAGCAGAAUGCCUUACAGAUACAUGUCCCGCCUGUUGAAUGAGCACCCUGAUACGCAACAAAAAGAGAGGACCCCAAUGAUGAUCGAUAUGUGACCACAAAAGCAGCUUUCACUGCAUUAUGCACCCCAUAAAUCUGGAACCUAGAUGCUAAAAGGUUUCUCUUUUCCUUAGAAGUUGGACAAAUACAUUCACAAGUAUAAAUGUGUAGUAUAGAACGACCAAUGAUUCUCUCUCUGUUCACACUUCAAACAAGCAAGGAAUUAUCAGAGUCUGCUUGAAUCAUCUUUAAAGAUGCAGAAAAAAAAAUGGUCCUCAUCUCUACAAACCAUUGAGUGGCUCUUGCUGUCAGUGGGGCAUUUCACCUGUUUGUGCACCUUAACACCCAACUGAUGGGGCGAUAUUCAAUUGUGGGAUUUCUUUUUGUGCAUAUUGAGCCCAAAUAGACUGGUUUUAGCAGCGUAAAGCAAUUAAACCCGUCUGACGUCCUUUUUCGGCCACCCAAUACCUGGAUAAUUCAGAUUCUUCAGAUUUCAGAUUGCCAGCUCAGGAAGCUGCAAGCAGAAAUUGCAGGAACAAUCAUUGCCAAGCAUGCUGCGGGCAGCAAAAACAACUGAAUUACUCCCAGUAUUCUAGGAUAAACAAGGGUACAACUCUACUUGGGCGCAAAGGUAUGAAUAGCAGUCUUAGGAUUUCCAAGUCAACCAUGGUUGAGCCACACAUAGAAAUGACAACUAGUAAAUGGGCUAAGUCCACUUGGCACCUACACCGAAAUACAAUACAAUAUACAUUAGAUGAGAAUAAAGCAUGCUCCUUAUCUAGAAGGUGUAUUGGGUCCUCAAGUUUUCAUGAACACAAAGGGGUCUAUUUGUGAAGCAGUGAAAAGAGUGGAAAAGUUGCCCAUGGCAACCAAUCAGUGUUGAGGUAACAUUUAUAAAAUGCAUUCUAUAAAAUAAUACAUGGCAGAAGAUUGGUUGCCAUGGAACUUCUCCACUGGCUCACUUCUCCACACUUUUCACUGCUUUAUGAAUAGACCACAAAGAGCUCUACACAGGGAGAGACUUCACCUUUCCAUACAUAACAGGACUGUUAAAGCCUGGGUAGAGCAUUCUAAAUAUCUGCGCAUUAUGUAAUUUGUCUUCACUCUCUGGUCUUCUGUAGAUAAAGGGGAGAGGGCAUCUGAAUAAACUUAGGAUUCAUGGUGCCAGUAUAGAUAGCCCUAGAGAGUAUGAGACACUUGACACUGCUUCGUGAUUAGGAGAAGAUGACGGCAGACGUAAUGACAUCUUCCACCCACAACUAGCUGAAAUAGGUAGAACAUGGACUGGAGAUAUCAUGCAUGGUCAAAUGUAAGUUCUCGCCCUUCUAAUUAGUGCGUUUGGCCACGUCAGCCACAACCAUUGCUAAAGGUGCAUACAAUCAAGCACAAGUGCAUGAAAUGUGGUUGGAACUCUAAUGAAUGUUGUGAUGGAUGACAAACACUCUCUGUAGGCAACAUUCCAGCACACCACCACUGGAGUCUGGAACAGUGGAGAUGCGUUCACUGGAGGUAAGGAUUACACUGCCCCAUGUGCCAGACUGUGUACUACCAACUGUACAGUUUGGUGGAAGAGGAAUAAUGGUCAGGGCCUGUUUAUCAUGGUAUGACCUAGGCCCCAUCAUUCCAAAGAAUGUUAAAAUCAAAAUUUCUACAGCAUAAAAUGAUAUCUUAGAGCAGGCAUUCCCAACCUCGGUCCUCAAGGCACACUAACAGUCCAGGUUUUAGUGAUAUCCAUGCUGAAGCACAGGUGAAUUAAUUAGUACCUCAGUUAUUUUGAUUUAACCAUCUAAAGCCUGGAUAUCACUAAAACCUGUUGGUGUGCCUUGAGGACCGAGGUUGGGAAUACCUGUCUAAGAGAAUUGUUACCUCUCACACCCUUUUUUCAUGACAAUGCCCCAUGUACAAAGAGAGGUCCAAAUAAAAAAGUAUAAAAAAAACCCCUAAUAAAAUACAUCAAUAAAAUAGGCGUAUUUAGACAAAGUAGUACAAUUGUUCUUCUGGUCUUUGCCAGAGUCUUAGAAACACAAAUAUCAUGGCUCUGAAAAUAACGCUCAUUUCAAUUAGACAGAUUUCUGCCAUUUUUUAUUGCCUCCGCCUCAUUCAAGACUUUUGGGAAACAUUAUUUAAAAAUAAAUGUAAUUAAGAACUAUUAUAUGUGAACCUUAAAGCCUGUGCAUUUCAAAUGACCAGCUGGGGUAUGAGAGUGGCUCUAACUUUUUACUGUAAACUGGAACACCACAUAAGACAGUAUAUUAUAAAGCAUUAAAGAAUAAAUAAUACAAUGGUGAGAAUAGAAUUUGCCAUCAACAUUUUACUCUUUUGGUAUUACAGAGGAAAAUAUAAUAAACUAUCUACAGGACUACGGUCAAUAUUUGCUGGGGGUUUGAAGAUGCAUACUAAAAGUAUCUUUCUGCUGGCUGAAUGAAUGGUAUGGUCAUUGGUUUCUAAAUAUACUGAGGAAACGGUUUCCAUCCCUGGUUCUGUGAAAUACAUGUGUCAACACUUUGAAGGCAGCCAUUUUGUGAACUAGUGAGGUAAUGUGUGAGACUAACAAAACAUCAUAAAAGCAAAACUAUAUUUUUUUUCCCAAAAGGAACAUACACUGUGAAAAAAUGUGAAUAAAUAUUAUAUACAAAUGAUGCUAAUAUAUGUAUAAACUUCUGUAAAUAAUAUCUGUAUAAAUAGUGAGUACGACUGUCAUCACUGUUCAUUAAGCAGGAACAGUCUGACCACCAUUUUACCUCGGGUUUGAAAUGAGGAAACUUCACUUAACCCGAUUUGGCCCAGGAGGGUAGUUUUCUACCCAGCACUUAAAAAAAAAUUCCACUAGAUUUUUCUUAAAUGGGUCAAUAAAAACCAUCCCUCAAGAAAUGUUGAAAAAUGGGUAGAAAACUACCCAGCCAGGCCAAAACGAGUUAACGUGUAUAUGAAUUUAUUUUGGACUAAAAACCGUCCUAAAAUGUGACCAUCAGACUGUAACCAGACGCUCGUAAAAACUGAGGUAACAUAGGUUCGAUAGUCUUCGUCUUUAUGCAGAGAUACGUAUAUAAUGCAAGGUCCUUAAAAUGUUUUGUGUAGCGUGCAAUGCGUGUGACACUAUAAUUGCCUAAAUUGUUUAUAUUCUACUGUUUAAAGAUUUCUGAUAUGAUUCAAUAAUGACCAAUAAAUGUCAUAAAACUC